rnacentral:rRNA from 1 species
UAACCUACCCAUCAGAGGGGGAUAACACUUGGAAACAGGUGCUAAUACCGCAUAACAGUUUAUGCCGCAUGGCAUAAGAGUGAAAGGCGCUUUCGGGUGUCGCUGAUGGAUGGACCCGCGGUGCAUUAGCUAGUUGGUGAGGUAACGGCUCACCAAGGCCACGAUGCAUAGCCGACCUGAGAGGGUGAUCGGCCACACUGGACUGAGACACGGCCCAG